GUGGUCUCAAGGAUGAAAGCAUACCUACAGGUACUUAAACCAUCAUAUCGCUCCCUUCAAUUCUUCUCCCAUUCCAACCACAUCUUUCUCAGUUUUCUCCCAAUUAAUCGGAAAUCGAGUGCUCAAAUCAUUCCAAUCGCAUUAGUUUACCAAAAGUCAAUUCAAUCAUUCUUGUUUAAUCACUAUUACCGUACACUCACUCCUACGCUACCCUCCCGUCGAAAAGACAAUUGAGCACAUUGGCAGACCAACCCUUUUUUCCGACCCGCAGUCUCGAAAAAUCCAUCUCGAACAUUCCGGUACAAUAGAGCAGCAAGCUCUUCCACCCCAAACCACGUCCAGCCCUUUCUCACAGCAAUGGGUAACGAUCAUAAGUACCUAUCUUCUGUUCGGACUCGGACGCUACUGGUUCAGGGCAGAGCGCAUCUGGAAGAACUGUUUCGGCGAUAUCAGACUUCUUUCUCAAGCGUCGUCGAUCGAAAUCCGAACUCGAAUCAUGAUUUCGGCUCUGAUUGGACCGCUGUUCAUAUUACUAUGGCCUGUCGACGUGACAGCGACCGUCAUCUGGGGCUACCUCAGAGAUGCGUUCCAAAGCUACUCAGAUCGGGAUACUGAAAGCAAGACUACUCCUGUUAGGAGCAGUACCCCGCCGCCAGCUUAUACAACUGAUGAGGAAUGAGCUCCAUCGAAGAAAUAUCUGACGGAGGACUACCCAGGAGUAUGAAGCGAAGGUGUUGAUGAUCGGCAGUGAUCUCAUGAUAGUUUUUUUCUUUAUUUUUCAGCGAAUACUUCCUUGCUGUUAGCGUUUGUGAUUUGUUUUAAAGAGGAGGGAAAAGAUAACAAGCUAAGAAACGCAUGGCGGGGCUCCUCGGGUCUUGGAGGAGUGGAGAUAACUUCCGCAAUUAGGUGGCAUCAUUAUAUCAUACAGAGAACCCUAUCGCAUUGCGAUACUUGUCAGAGGCAGGGGUAUAGCUGCUAAUGCAAUCACAAGCAACUUGGUCUGCUGCUUCAAAAAUAAACACAGCAAUGUUGUCUUCGCUCCAAUUUUGCUGCUUCGUUUGACGUU